CUACGUGCCAGCAGCCGCGGUAAUACGUAGGUGGCAGCGUUAUCCGGAAUUAUUGGGCGUAAAGCGCGCGCAGGCGGUUUCUUAAGUCUGAUGUGAAAGCCCACGGCUCAACCGUGGAGGGUCAUUGGAAACUGGGGAACUUGAGUGCAGAAGAGAAAAGCGGAAUUCCACGUGUAGCGGUGAAAUGCGUAGAGAUGUGGAGGAACACCAGUGGCGAAGGCGGCUUUUUGGUCUGUAACUGACGCUGAGGCGCGAAAGCGUGGGGAGCAAACAGGAUUAGAUACCCUGGUAGUCCACGCCGUAAACGAUGAGUGCUAAGUGUUAGAGGGUUUCCGCCCUUUAGUGCUGCAGCUAACGCAUUAAGCACUCCGCCUGGGGAGUACGGUCGCAAGACUGAAACUCAAAGGAAUUGACGGGGGCCCGCACAAGCGGUGGAGCAUGUGGUUUAAUUCGAAGCAACGCGAAGAACCUUACCAGGUCUUGACAUCCUCUGACAACUCUAGAGAUAGAGCGUUCCCCUUCGGGGGACAGAGUGACAGGUGGUGCAUGGUUGUCGUCAGCUCGUGUUGUGAGAUGAUGGGUUAAGUCCCGCAACGAGCGCAACCCUUGAUCUUAGUUGCCAGCAUUUAGUUGGGCACUCUAAGGUGACUUACGGUGACAACCGGAGGAAGGUGGGGAUGACGUCAAAUCAUCAUGCCCCUUAUGACCUGGGCUACUCACGUGCUACAAUGGAUGGUACAAAGGGAUGCAAGACCGCGAGGUCUAUACCAAUCCCAUAAAACCAUUCUCAGUUCGGAUUGUAGGCUACAACUUGCCUACAUGAAGCUGGAAUCGCUGGUAAUCGCGGAUCACCAUGCCGCGGUGAAUACGUUCCCGGGCCUUGUACCCACCGCCCGUCACACCACGAGAGUUUGUAACACCCGAAGUCGGUGGAGUAACCGGCGGAGCUAGCCGCCCAAGGUGGCACGGAGAUUGCGGGCCGCCAGAGAUGCCCCUACGG
rnacentral:rRNA from 2 species